rnacentral:misc_RNA from 1 species
UUUUUCUCGGGCACGGAGUGUUGAACAAUGGCUGGUAUUUAUAAAAUCAGAUCUUUUCAACUGUGCAACACCUAUAUUCAUACAGAAUUCAAUAACACCAGCGCUGGGACCUGCUGAACUCAUAGCUGAACGCCCCGGUGGCAUUUAAAAGUAUUUUCAGUCUGUAGUAGGAAACAUUAUAUUGAGGUAAAGAUUAUAUGCUACUAUGCUAGAAAGGUACACAAUAUGUAUGGAGCUCUGUUUGUGCUCAUAUCAAAUCGUUAUUUUUAUUCGACUCUUGGUUGCAUAAAAAUUGUCAUCUGUCUUAAUCGUCAAUGAAGCGUGUAUUUAAGUAAUGGUUAAUACAACUUUGUUGUGGUGCUUGCAAAAUAUGUGUAUGUCAUCUUUAGUUUAAAAAAGUUUAAAGUUCCUACUCAGUGAAGGCAUAAACAUGUAUAGGAAGGUUCCUUAAUGCAAGGAAAUCCUAUUAAAUGUUCACUAUAUUAUAUCAAACAUACGAUGAUAAUCUAGAACAUUACUUUAUUAAUUGCUCGCAUGCCCAAAUUGCGUGUGUGGAAAAAAAACCCUGGUGUGUUGAUACUAAAGGCUACAUGUAUUAUAUUAUGUACAAUAAAUGUAAAUAAUCAUUCGUUUUGUCAAAAUAUCUGAAAUAAAACUAAACCUCCAAAUAGUCUGAGAUAUACCAAUGUUCUAGAACUUGACCUGAGUAAUAUAUUUUAGUUGUCUUUUUACCAUUAUUAUUUUUUUUAGGUUUAAGGGGUGGUCAUGUUCUAGAAUUUGACCUCUUGGGUUUUUUUUUAUUUACGGCGAUUAAUGUUAUAAAUUUUCAGAAACGUUUAUGAUUUUCCAGUUGUGUACAAACUAAAGUCUGUGCUUGGUCGGAAUCUUUUAAAGCAACUAGUGACAAGCGUUUCGGUAACAACCAUGGAAAAAGCUGUUCGACCGGAAUACGAUGGAACCCCGGGAAGAAGCGUUAUAGACAAAAAAGGAGCCUUUCAGAGAUCCCAGUCGGCCUUCCGAAACUGGGUGACAGCUGACGGGUCUUCUGGUUUUAAGGCACAGCCUGGUCGCUAUCAUCUCUACGUUUCUUUGGCCUGUCCAUGGGCUCACAGGACGCUGAUCCUCCGGAAGUUAAAAGGGUUGGAUGAUGUCAUAUCCGUUAACGUAGUUGAUUGGCUGUUAAAUUUUGAGACUGGAUGGGAAUUCAACGAAAAGAGAGAUGGCUGUACUCCUGAUACUGUCAAUAGCGUCAAAUACUUAAAAGAGGUUUACAGGAAAGUUGAUCCAGGUUUGACAUUGAACGAUAAAAUUUUAAUACGUAAAGUGAUUCGGUCGAUAAAAAAUUUUGCUGUUGUUAUUUCGAAACUUUCACAUAUAGUUAAUCAUGCAAUUGCUCACAAUUUAAUCUGGAAAUUUACGAACUAGAUUUAAAAUUACACAAAAGCCAUAAAUAAUGUACUGUAUAAUGCAUGUAGUACCUUUAUCAAUAUAAUGUUCUAAAUCGAUGUAUUAUAAAAGGAUUUUUUCUCUCAUAUACAUGUAAUGUCUUGUUAUAAUAAUAAAUCAGAUAUCGUUCACAGAUUACAAUAAAAGUGUAACAGUUCCUGUAUUAUGGGACAAAGAGACAAAGACGAUCGUAAACAACGAAUCGAGCGAAAUCAUCAGAAUGCUCAACUCAGAAUUUAACGACUUCUGCAAAACUGAGGAACAAAAACAAUUGGAUUUUUAUCCUGAGAAUCUGAGAAAAUCUAUUGAUGACAUAAAUGAGUGGAUAUACCCAAACAUAAACAAUGGGGUAUACAGGGCUGGAUUCGCCAGGACACAAGAAGCUUACGACGAAGCGGUGAUCGGCCUUUUUGAUGCCCUGGAUAAGGUGGAGUCCAUUUUGUCCAAGCAACGAUAUCUGGUCGGAUCCAGUUUAACAGAGGCCGACAUCCGGUUGUUCGUUACAUUGGUCCGCUUUGAUUCAGUAUAUGAGCAACAUUUCAAAUGUAACAAGAAGAGGAUACUUGACUAUCCUAACAUAUGGCCGUAUGUAAGGGAUAUUUAUCAAAUACCAGGAAUCGCAGAAACAAUUAAUAUGGAACAUAUAAAGAAACAUUACAUGAUGAGUCACCGCUCAAUCAACCAGUAUGGAAUAGUGUGUAUAGGACCCGACCUCGACUUCAUGGCUCCACAUGGUAGAGACAAAAAGUACUGACCAGGAGAAAGACUUGAUAGUUAAUAUAUACCACGUGGACUCCUAUGAGAUUAAUGUAGUGACUUGCAAAAUGACUUACAAUAUAUAUAUAUUUAUAUUUUCAUGAUGAUAUACAAGUUAUAAGCAACACCAUGUACAUGUACCUGUAUGUCCAAAUGAAUAUUACUCCAAUACCGGUGUUUCCACUUUUGCUACAUGUAGAUGUAAUUGUUCUUUUUUUAAUUAUUAAUAUUAGAUUGGUGUUUUGGUUUGGACGACUUUCAAAAACUUGUCCUUUUUAUUUUGUUGCAAAGAAACUGUACAUAGUUUGUUUUUAAUACAUGUAGUUUAAUUAAAAUAUUUCAUAAUU